GAUGAAGAACGCAGCGAAAUGCGAUAAGUAAUGUGAAUUGCAGAGUUUUGUGAAUCAUCGAAUCUUUGAACGCACAUUGCGCCCACUAGUAUUCUGGUGGGCAUGCCUGUUCGAGCGUCAUUUCAACCCUCAAGCCUGGCUUGGUGUUGGGGCUCUGCGUCUGCAGUCCCUUAAAUCCAGUGGCGGACACGCUAGGUCUCCGAGCGCAGUAGUUUCUCCUCGCUCAGGGCGUCCGGCGUGGGCUUGCCUCGCACCCAUCUUUUACAAGGUUGACCUCGGAUCAGGUAGGAAUACCCGCUGAACUUAAGCAUAUCAAUAAGCGGAGGA
rnacentral:misc_RNA from 1 species